AACGCGAAGAACCUUACCUGGGCUCGAAAUGCUGUGGACCAGCUUAUGAAAGUAGGCCUUCCCGCAAGGGACCGCAGUAUAGGUGCUGCAUGGCUGUCGUCAGCUCGUGUCGUGAGAUGUUGGGUUAAGUCCCGCAACGAGCGCAACCCUUGUCCUGUGUUGCCAUACCGAAAGGUGGAACUCGCAGGAGACCGCCGAUAUUCAAAUCGGAGGAAGGUGGGGACGACGUCAAGUCAUCAUGGCCCUUAUGUCCAGGGCUACACACGUGCUACAAUGGUUGCUACAAAGCGCUGCAAACCCGCGAGGGGAAGCCAAUCGCAAAAAAGCAACCUCAGUACAGAUAAGAGUCUGCAACUCGACUCUUUGAAGUCGGAAUCGCUAGUAAUCGCUGAUCAGCAGGCAGCGGUGAAUACGUUCCCGGGCCUUGUACACACCGCGCAUA
rnacentral:rRNA from 1 species